rnacentral:rRNA from 1 species
CAAUGUGAACUGCAGGACACAUGAACACCGAUACGCUGAACGCAUAUUGCGCGUCGGACGAUUAAACCCGGCCGAUGCACACAUUCUUGAGUGCCUACUUAUUCUUGAAGAAACAACACGAAACUGCCUCUUGCCGCGUUCAGCAACCUCAACACUCUGGGGCGAGUCGCCCGUCCGAGUGUCGCUGACUCACGCGCGUGCACGCUGAGAAGAUUGGCGUCCGUGGUCCCCCGCAGGCGGAGGAACACGAGCGCUGAAAGGUUUCGGGCGCACACUGUUUGCCACACACAAGAAGGUGGAAGCUCGUGGUUCCAAGCCGCAAGGUUCGACUUUGGUAGACGAUCUGAGACCCCGGUUGCCUAAAACACCUGGCUUUCGGCUGUGUUUAUCAGGCCCAAUCUUCUGCCGAGUCGUGUCACUCUUGCCGGUCAACUAUCGGGCCUACCCCACCCCAGUGUGCUUUGGUGAUUUACACAGUGCCGAACCCGUUAUGCAAAUAGCGCUCACACACCCCCACGUAGGCCUCAAGUGAUGUGAGACUACCCCCUAAAUUUAAUAGAGUG